rnacentral:rRNA from 1 species
GACGGAGGGUGCUAGCGUUGUUCGGAAUCACUGGGCGUAAAGGGCGCGUAGGCGGCCAGGCAAGUCGGCUUUGUGAAAGCCCGGGGCUCAACCCCGGAGGUGCGGCCGGGACUGCUUGGCUGGAGGCCGGAAGAGGAGGGUGGAAUACCCAGUGUAGAGGUGAAAUUCGUAGAUAUUGGGUGGAACACCGGUGGCGAAAAGCGGCUCUCUGGUCCGGACCUGACGCUGAGGCGCGAAAAGCGUGGGGGAGCAAACAGG